AUUGAAGAGGAAAAAGCAUCACGUUCUAUCUUCCGACGUCCUUGUCGUCGUCUCCUUCUUCUUCCAAAGCAAGAUGGCGGUUCGACGUCUUCCUCCGCUUCAGAGGCGAGGAUGUCCGCCCGGCUUCCUCCCUUCACGGCGGCAUCGACGUCUGCAUCAACGGCGAGGGCUCGAGGCGCGAGAUCCCGCCGGGCGGUCACGAAGGCCGUCGAGGAGUCGCGGAUCGCCGUGCUCAUCUUGUCUGAGGACCACGCUUCGUCUCGGUGGUGAUUGAGUGAGCUCGGUGAAGGAAGGUGAUGGAGUGGAAGAGGCUCAAGGGGACAGCUGGUGUUGCCCCUGUUCUACGGAGUGGAGCCGGGGGAGAUUCGAUGGCAGAGAGAGAGAGGGUUAUGGCAAGGCAUUGGCCAGUCACCGAUUUGUGCGAUUGGCAUUAUUAUGACCAUGGGUAAUCACGGUUGCUGGGUAGAGAAUGUAAGAUCGUUGUUAAGUACAGGCUUGGAUGAGGUUCAGAUGAUAGGAAUAUGGGGAGCGGGAGGUAUAGGGAAGAGCACUAUCGCUAAAGCUGUCUAUAACAGUAUCACUAGUCAGUUUGGUGGGUGUGGCUUUCUUGCAAAUGUUAGAGAAACUUCCAUUAAACCUGGUGACCUGGUUCAUUUGCAGAAAACACUCUUAUCCGAGAUACUGUGGAAAGAAAAUUUAGUGGUCUUCAGUGUGGAUGGAGGCUUUAACCUGAUACGAGAUGGACUUUGCUGCAAGAAGAUUCUGCUUGUGCCUGAUGAUGUGGAUCAUGGGGACCAGUUGAAUGUAUUAGCCAGAGAAUGUGAAUGGUUUGGAAAAGGGAGCAUGAUCAUUAUUAUGACAAGAGAUAAACAUGUAUAGACUUCUCACGGGAUAGAUCAGAUAACCAAUGUUGUUAAAGGCGUAGUGCUGGACUUGCCAACACAGGAAGAGCUAGACAUCAAUCCCAGUGCUUUCACACAUAUGAGGAGACUCAUAGUGCUCCUAGUUCUGAAUGCACAGGUCAGUGGAGGUCCCAUAUGUCUUCCCAACGACUUAAGGUGGCUUGAAUGGAAUAUCCUUUAUCAACUCUGAAGUUUAGUUCUGGUCCAAAGAUACUUGUUUGGUUCGAUGUGCAUAACAGCUGGAUUAAAUAAUUAGGAGACAACUUAAAGUUGGAAUGCUUAUCACACAAGAUUGUAGUAGCAAUACAAUUUGAUGUGAAGGUUAGCUUUUCAAAGUUCUCAGAUGUAGCUCUGUUUCUGCCUUUAACCAAAUUAAGCUGGCUGGUGUUAAUUUUACUCUUCUGCAGAGCUUUUGGGCGUUACGUCUUUGUGGAAGUUUGAACAAGCAAGCAAGCAGCUCCAUAUGUUUUAUGCCACAGGCAUCAAUUGGUUAAAAUUUCUCUGGUUUUUAGCAAAUUCAUGGUGUAUACCUUCAUACGCUCAAAAAUAAAUUCAAAUUCCUUCCUAUUUUCAGAAUGGUAUUUCGCUGUGCAUCCAAGCAAUUACCCUUCUAUGUGCCAUUUUCUUGCCUUCGUGUCUGUUUCUGUGACAGAGUAUGGCUAUACUUAUGUAAGAGGAUAUUCUAUGGUUGAGUCACAUUAUCACAAAACUCCAUUCACUGCCA